GUGACCUGCGGAGGAUCAUUAAUGAAAUUAUAAUCCGGCGAGGGGAAAGGCGGAGAGUUGUAGCUGGCCUCUAGGGGCAUGUGCACGCUCUCUUCCGGACCUUUCGCCGUAUGGGCGCGGGGCGACCCGCGUCUUCAUAUACCUCUUCGUGUAGAAAGUCUUUGAAUGUUUUACCAUCAUCGAGUCGCGACUUCUAGGAGACGCGAUUCUUUGAGAAAAAAGUUAUUACAACUUUCAGCAACGGAUCUCUUGGCUCUCGCAUCGAUGAAGAACGCAGCGAAUCGCGAUAUGUAAUGUGAAUUGCAGAUCUACAGUGAAUCAUCGAAUCUUUGAACGCACCUUGCGCUCCUCGGUGUUCCGAGGAGCAUGCCUGUUUGAGUGUCAGUAAAUUCUCAACCCCUCUCGAUUUGCUUCGAGCGGGUGCUUGGAUGUUGGGGGCUGCCGGAGACACUGGAUUUCGUCCAGGACUCGGGCUCCUCUUAAAUGAAUCGGCUCGCGGUCGACUUUCGACUUUGCAUGACAAGGCCUUUGGCGUGAUAAUGAUCGCCGUUCGCCGAAGUGCAAGACAGAAUGGUCCCGUGCCUCUAAUGCGUCGACGCCUCUAGGGGCGUCUUCCUCAUUGACGUUUGACCUCAAAUCAGGUAGGACUACCCGCUGAACUUAA
rnacentral:rRNA from 1 species